UGAAGAGCCCAAAGGACUGUGUGACUCUUAUUAUAGGCCUGGCGAUGGGCUACCCACCUUGGGUCCAGGCUGGCCAAGUGUAUGCCUCCUCAGCUGUGGUGGGAGGAGUGUUUUAUACAGGGACCGGCCAGCUUAGUAACUUCCACCCUGAGGGAGCAUUUUAAAUGGGCUGUGCUGCCAGAUUCAGAAAUACUGAAGUUUCCCGCCAUCCACUCAGAUCCCUUUGCUUGAAACUUCCCAGGUUCGGGGAUUCAGCUGUGAUCAAAGCCACCCAGAUCCCUGUUUUCAAGGGGCUUACAGUAUGCCAGCCACGAACAAUCGAACAAUGUAAUGGAACAAGGUGGAGUGUGGUGUGAUGCGCCAGUAGAGUAUAGAGACACUGUAAGUGGCAUGAAAUAUGAUGGGCUCACCUGAAGACCUGGGACCAAAUCAGCCUGGAGAUGUGGGUUCAGAUCCUGGCGCUGCCACUUCAGACUGGGCAGAGGUAUUGAGCACCUCGUCAUGCCAGACACGUCUGAGCCCUGGGAAUUCAGCGACCAUCACAGUGGGCCCAGGCCCUGUUCUCACAGAUCUUCCUGGUUUUCACAGCAAUAUGGUCUGCAAUGAAGACUAUGCCAUGAAUAUGGAUUAUGACUCAAAAUUCUCUUCCCUGAUGUUUGUUUUUUUCUUA